GGGGAUGACUGGUAUCGACGGGGAGCGCUCUUUUAAAAAUGCAAGCCUCCUUUGACUUAACAGGAGUAAAACAGAAGUCAAAAAAGAAAAGAUACUUCUUACGAAGUUUCUCCUAAUGCUGACAGCUUUGCUGUCAACUACGCUUUUGCGUAAAUAGGCAUCUAAAUUGUUUUUUCUUGCCGAAACUUUUUGGGUGUAAACAAAGACAAGACGCAAUGCCGAUGGCGUCAAACACAUCGGCACCAAGCUUUAGUUUGGCAACCUUUAACUUUCCAGGUUAACGGAUCAGGUUAGAGGUAAAAAAGUUAACCUAAGCUUGUAGAAAUUUUAAAAUUGACUUUUCGGAUUCCGGUUCAAUUCCGGACAUCUCCACCA
rnacentral:tmRNA from 1 species